CCGUGUGUAUGCUAUUGAGAACUGGACGGGAGUGAAAGAGAGUGAUGAAGACAACAGUCUAUACAGCAUCUCCUAUUACCUGUUAGCUCAGUGCUUCAUGUGCAUUACCUCACUGAAUUCUCGCAACAGCCCAAAAAGGUCAUAAUCAUCUGGAGAGACACAUUGGCAGAGAGACUACCUUAAUACAAUGGGACCUCAGGAUGUGACUUUAUUUGGAAGUGGGUGCUUGCAGAUGUAAUUGAUGAAGAGGAGGCCAUGCUAGAGUAGGACAGGCCCCCAAUCCAAUAUGACUAGUGAUCUUAUAGAAAGGGGCCAUUUGGACACACUCACCCACACAGGGAGAGCCCCAUGUGAAGACUGGAGUUGUGCUGCCACAAGCCAAGAAUGUACCAGAAGCCAGGAGGGAGAAGUGGAACAGAUCCUUCCUAGCACUUUCAGAGGGAGCCCGGUCCUCCUAACAUUGGGAUUUUGGAUUUCUGGCCUCCAGAGCUCCUGACAAUAUUUCUGUUGUUCUAAGCCACACAGUUUGUGGAACUUUGUUACAGCAACUCUGAAACUCAAGCCGCAUUCUAUCUGGGCAAAAAAUAUGUGCAAAGGUACAGAGGUGUACGGGAACUGCGGGAACUUCUGAGUUAAGUCAGAAUUGUUGUUUUGGUGGUUCAAAAAUAGGAGAACAUUGACAAAUUUGCAUGGUUCAAGUUAAGCUAUCAAGUUGGAAUAAUGUACCAGGUUGAGUGGUAGAUGGGGGGGAUCAGUUUACUGAAUAAAGCUCCAGUUGGAAUAAACUGUGUUCCCUCCUAUGCGGCCAGUGAAUCGUUCUGAUAAGAAAUCACCAUGGAUGUGACAGGUGUAUGAAGAAUGGCUAGUAUUACUAAUUAAUGGCAAGGAGCUCUGGUUGUGAACGUUUUCCAAAAUUCCAUACAUAAGGGAAGUUUGCAAACAUUUUCCAAAAUUCUAUCCAUAUUCUAUUUUAGGAAAAAUGACUAUGGGACUUUCUUUCCCCAGCUGUUUUGAGGCUUUAAAAUUUAUCUUAGAACCUCUUGGAACUAUCCCAUCAGAAUAACUGGAAGCCAGAUAAAACAUUAGGCAGUUCAUUCAUUUUAUUGGACGUGGAGUUUUGUCAGAACCAGCAUUUACUGUACUUCUCAUAGCUGUAAGCAAAGCAUUAGAAUUCAGCAACCUAAUGCUUUUCUUUUCUCUGCCAAGCGGGGUCGUGAAAUGGGAGAGAAAGCCUCCUUGCCUCUGUUCUUUGCAAACAGCAUGUAUUUAUUUGGGGUCAGUAGAGCAAAACAUCUGAUCGCUGCUCUAAGUGUUUGCAAACUUUUGGGCACUGGAGGGGACAUGCAUAUGAGAUGGAACAGGGCAUAGAUAAAAGAAUUCCCGCAUUACCCACCAUCCUGCCCAAAGAAACCACACGACUUCCAUGGCAGUCCCAGACUACAGAAAGGGAGAACACAGCAAGCGCCUGCAUUCUCUUCAUUUAGGCCCCAAGUCAUCCAAAAAUUGCCUACCACGGCAGUAGACGAGUUCACAUUUUAAUCAAAACAGGACUGCACAGAAACAUACGUCCACGUGAAAACCAGUACCCAGUGUUUAUGGUGGCUUUCUUUUUAAUUGCUAAAAACUGGUAACAACCUAAAUGUCCAUCGUCAGAGGAAGCGAUGAACAAACUGCGGUGCAUUCACACAACAGCGGUGCUACACAGCAGCGAAGAGGAGCAGCCGACUGACACGCACAACAACUCGGAUCUCAGGAGCAUCGCACCGAGCUGGAGAAGCCAGACACGAGCCGCUGCACACCGUAUGAUUCCAUGGCAUUCUGGGAAAGGCAAAACUCCAAGCACAGAGAACGCAUGAGUUGUUGCCCAGGUUUGGGGUUCCAGGAAGAGGAUGGAUUACUAAGAAGCACAGGGGAAUGUUUUGGGGUGAUGAAAAUGUUGUAUGUCUUGUCUUUUUCUUUUCUUUUUGUGAAACAGAGUUUCACUCUUGUCGUCCAGGCUGGAGAGCAAUGGUGUGAUCUCAGCUCACUGCAACCUGCACCUCCCAGGUUCAAGCAAUUCUCCAGCCUCAGCCUCUUGAAUAACUGAGAUUACAGGCACAUGCCUCCCCGCCCAGCUAAUUUUUGUAUUUUUAGUAGAGACGGGUUUUCACCAUGUUGGUCAGGCUGGUCUUGAACUCCUGACCUCAGGUGAUCCGCCCACCUCAGCCUCCCAAAGUGCUGGGAUUACAGGCAUGAGGCACCACAUUCGGCCAAAGUUCUAUGUCUGGUCACAGCCAUUUACAUUCAUCAGAAUUCACAGAACCAUCCAUCCUGAAGUGGUGAAUUUGCUGAAUAGAAAUUAUACCUCAAAGACCAGACGUUCAAAAAUGCCUUUGUGUUUUGUAAGCUUCAACACUCGCCCAGUGGGAACCACAAAAGCGUUGCCCAAUUUGUUGAAAGCAUUGCUGUUAUAACUUCAGCGUGUGGGGAGAAGUUAUGUUUUCAUACUGUCUUUGUCUGCUCUGGCCACCGUUACAAAACACCAUAGACUGGGUGGACUGAUCAACACGCAUUUCUUUCCCACAGUGGAGGCUGGAAGUCCCCAAGACCCAGGUUCCUGGGGAGGGCUUUCUUCCUAGCCUGCAGGUGACCAACAUCUGCUGUGUCCUCUUGUGACUCUUCCUCAGUUCCUGUGCCAGAGGGGUCGGGGGACAAGUGGGCGUCCAUCUUGUAAGUGUCCUCAUAAGGCCACCAUCCUGUCAAC
rnacentral:lncRNA from 10 species